CUGUGCUGCUCUCUACUCCGGGUGGGCUUAGGGAAGGAAUUGCAAAUGGUAUUUCCUUUCCAGUCUUUUCAGUGUAGUGAUCAUUAGUGGUUUUCACCUUCUAAUGCUCUAUAGGGAUUUUCUCACUGUCAGAUGACAGAUCUGGCUUUGCAGUAAAUUUAAAUGGGACGUGAGACAAGUGUAGAUGGACUGCUUGAAACCUGCUGUGCCAAAAAGGUGGGAGGAAUUAGAACAUUUCCAUUUAAAUUGCAAAGAACAGGAGUGUUAAAGAUAUUUCUGCAUUUAUAAUAUAUUAGAUCCACCCGGAAUACACCAGCAACUUGACCUUUUGUCUAGAAGUGAUGUUUAAACUAGAAUCCUAGUAGAUUCCACAGGGGAAAAAAAUCCAAGAACACCCACCUCACUCCCCCCUAAAAAACAACACCAAAAACCUCCAAACAAAACAGUCUUCCCUCCCAGCAAAGCCUAGAUAAAUACAACUCAAAGGCCAUAUGAUUAUGAAGUGGGAAAACUUGGUGAGGAUGAAACCUCAACCCCUGCUCAGUAGUCCAGCCCAAAUCUGGAAAGUGCUAAACUUCUUAAAGCAAGAUUGAUCUUUAUGAAAUGAGUUAAACACUCACAUGUGCAUGUCAAUGAUGCCUGCUGCUAUCUAUUUCCUCUACUAGUAGUCCUUCUGUACCUCCUUCUCUGCUGGCUUCUCUCUUGCCCGCAAGUAGAAAUAAGUCAGCAGAAUGAAUGCCAGAAGGGAUCUGCUUUGAAAAUAAGGCUUCUGAGUGGAUGAAUGGCUGUGGCAUAAUACAGAAAUGGAAUGGCAGACCACAUGGGUCGGGCUGGGUGAGGGCAAAUUUAAGAUCAGUCUUACAUUUUCUGUGUAGGUAAAAUACAUCUUGGUGAGGAACAUGACUGUCAUAUUUCUAUUCAAGAAGCUCCAUGCUCUUAAUACCCUAGUCCUAGCAAUCUAAAGCAUAGUUUAUAAAAAUAGGAAGUUAUUUAAUGGCUUAUCCUACUCUCCUCUCUCCCCCCAAAACAGGUGUAGAAACACAAGUCAACUUGAUUUUGUUGGACACAGUUGUCACUACACAGUAGUGCAGGUGAUUCUUCAUUGAGUCAAGAGAAGUGCUUUUCAGGAGAACUGGCACUAGGAAUCUUUACAGAAUGGUCAUGUAUAUACCCAUUUAAGUGGUAGCCCUCGCAGUAUGUCCAGCACACAAGUCCAGGUUUUUGUUUUCUGCAAUUUAACUGUUUGCUGGAAAUGAAAAUUUAGUUAGAUGCUUCCUCAUCCCAUUGAGAACAUGGAGAUAAGUAGUUUUCUUUGUGUGUUGAGACUCAAGUUGCUUACGAUCAAAACUUGGUAUUUAUACAACUGGGCUGAUGCAGCAUGGUAGCUGAAGUAAUGCUGGUGGGUCAGAUCACUCUUUCCUUUGCUUAUGCGGUGACUUGCGUGCUAGUGGCCAGCACUAACAGGAAACCACAGCUGCUCUUGUUCACUGCACUGGCAGCUGCCUAAAGAACUAAAACAUACCAAAUAGGGAACAGGAAAUGAGAUGGCUGAAUACAGAUGACUGUUGAAAAGUACUCUGACGAUCCCUACUUAAAAUUAUUUACAAAGAUUCAUUAUUUUAUCAGGUUCUAUGAAAGGCGUGAAACUGCUUAAGCUGCUUUUUCGUGUGGCUGCUGACAGCUGUUUUCAUUAAUAGGACAGUUUCAGAAAAUAGAAAAAGCUUAUUGAGCUUCUACCUGCUUAGUAGUAUGGAAAUGAUUCCAUGUUUGUUAGGCAGCAUCUACUGUGGGGAUAAAGCCAUUAAAUGGGUUUAAAUUUUCUUUAAAGCCUUUUCAUGUUAACCAACUGUCCAACAGGUCUGUUGCCAAUGAAAGCAAAUGAAGCAGAGCUGGGAAACAGCCUAACCUUUUGUUUAUGUUCACCCAAACUGCCUUAAUCAAGUCUCAGCUGCUUCCUCAGUUCAGCAAGGCUUUUUAAAACCAUCUUUAGUUCCAGACUAGAUUUAGUCUAACUUUCACUUAAAUAGGAAUUUUGAAAAACUUUGCUAUGUGCUACUUUGAAGUUUUCUAUCUGUAUGUAAAGACAGAUGAUUCUUAACUGUAUUUACUAGUUGAUUUGGAGGUGAACUAAUCUUAUUUCCUGUGUGGUGCUGCCUUGGCUGGUUAUUCUACACUACAAGAUUUAUGUUCUGGUUUUGACUGCUUUUCUUCUGCCUGUCAGGAUCUAUCCUGCUCAUUUGACUUAUGAGUUUAUGUUAAUGAGUUUCUUACUGCAUAAGGUGACAUUUAUUCAUGUUACCCUUGCUGCAGUUUUCCAAUUGCAGAGGUCUAAGGCUGAUGCUAAUCUUGGUGCCCAGUCAUCAGAUAGCCUCUGUUGUACACAUUGUCUUGUCUAAGCUAGUAUACAUAUACAUGCAAGAGUUGGACCAGGACAACCCCAUGUGCUGCCUUGGCUGUUGUGACGUUGUUUAUUCCCUUUUGUAAGUGGGGAAAGUAAGAAGUAGUGCUGUAAGAUAUCUUGACUUCAGCAGAGCUCUCUUCAUCCUGGGGUUGUACUGGUGGUUUUGCUUUUUUAAGUCAUGCAUGGAUGAAAGCUCUGAGGUCAUGUCUUUAGCCUAGGGAUCUUCAAGGAUAAGACAUGGAAAUGUACCCUAGGGACCA